UACGAACUGUGCAAACGUUAUUCGGAUUCACUGGGCUUAAAGGGUGCGUAGGCGGCCAUGUAAGUAGGGUGUGAAAUCCCCCGGCUUAACCGGGGAACUGCGCCCUAAACUGUGUGGCUUGAGUGAGAUAGGGGUGUGUGGAACUUCCGGUGGAGCGGUGAAAUGUGUUGAUAUCGGAAGGAACGCCGGUGGCGAAAGCGACACACUGGGUCGCAACUGACGCUGAGGCACGAAAGCCAGGGGAGCGAACGGG
rnacentral:rRNA from 1 species